rnacentral:rRNA from 11 species
ACCUGUGGGAACUAAAUAUUCUAAAGGCACCAUGUCCCAUCUGAUCUUCAGAAGUAAGCAAGGUCAGGCCUGGUUAGUACUUGGUUAGGAGACAUCAAGGAAUAUUAGGCGAUGCAGGUU